ACUACACUUAUUAUCUGCAUCUAAACUCUCUCUCUCUCUCUCAAGUUCGAUCUUUGAAGCAAAGCUCUCUCCAUUUUCUGAAACACUUUCUAUGUUAGUUUUACAACACGUUAUCAGCACGACUAGCUCUAGGAUUCGGAUUGCCGAUCGACAAGAGAAGAGGUGAAUAACUCUUGGGUUGCAGAAAAGAAGAGGUUCAUCAUUCAAUCAACAUCAAUCUACCAGCUCUACAACCAAAGGCUGAGUCAGAAGCUCAAAUCAAGCCCAAAGUCAUAAUAACAAAUUCGAGCCAGAAGCUCAGGCCCAAGCUACAAGACCAUAACAGAAGCUCGCCAUGAGUUGCCAUGACAAAGACCAGUUUGAGCCCAGCAGGCCCACUCUCCCUCUGCGGGACCUAGCAGCCCAGCAGGCCUCACACACCAUUUAAAUUACGCAUGAAAGGCCGGGUCACAAGCCCGCAGACUAAGCCCGAUAGGCUUCACUAUCAAGCCCAUUCCUUUGGUCCAGCAGAAUCAAAUAAAAGGAAAAAUGAUUUGAUUCUACUGAGAUUUGAACCCAGACAAUGUACAUGUCAUUAUGGCUAUUGCAAAUAAAUUCACCAUAUUUCAUAUGUGUAAUUAAUUGCCAGAAGCAUUUAUUCACAUAAUUGUGUGACAAUUAAUAUGUUAUAUUACUAGCAUGCAAUUAAUAUCUCAAUUGAUUUGUGAUUUCCAUUUA